UAUUCCAUGUGACUCUCUGUUCCCCCUUCUCAUCCCUCCCUCUUUACUCUCCUAGAGGGCCCUGUGUAUUCCAUGUGACUCUCUCUUCCCCCUUCUCAUCCCUCCCGCUUUACUCUCCUAGCCCUUUCAUGCGUGAGUUCCAAAUAUCUCUAACGGUCGCCCCAGCGUGAGUUUUUUUAUGCACGUGAUGUUAGAAUGUUCUCUCCAUUCCAGAAUGUGAUUGAUACGUAACAGUACAUUUUAUCCGCGCUGCCCUCAAACUAAAGCACGCAGCCUGUUUAUAUUUAUAGGUUGUUUUAACUUCAAUUUCAAAUGAUUUUCAAACAAGUUUUUAUUUUCUAAAAACAGUUUGAAUUUAGGUGUGUUACGCCUCCUCAUUCAUUCACAUAAAAAUAGUCAUUUUUACUUUUGCGGAUAAUUACAUUUUUGGGACAUUUCUGACACGGACAAAAUUCCCCAAGCACUGCCCAAUUGUUUGUGCAGUUCACGUCUGCAGACAUUUGCUCAUCUCCCGUCAGAACAGGAUCUGCACACGUGUUCACAUUUUCUAUUCCACAUUUCUAUUGUAGCGUACUGUAUGUAUGGAGCAUAAUAUAUUUGUGUAUAUUCUUUAUCACCGCGGACACGUGAGGUAACGUUACUCAUUUUAUAACCUUUAUGGUGUUAUAGUCAAUCGUGCUUACGUAGCCACAUUCUUCUAUUAGCUCUGUAAAACAAUGCUAAAUGCGUCAGAGAAGUAUUAUCUUGUGUUGCAUUUUGAAGCUACCAUCGCCUUAUGACUCUCAAGUGGUGCAGCGGUCAAAGGCACAGCACAUCAGUACUAGAGGCAUCACUACAGACUCCCUGGUUCAAAUCCAGGCUGCGGUUCCAUCAAAAAACCAGAAACAUUAUUUGUCAAUAUCAUAACUGGAGCUGGACAUCUUUGGAGCUGAAGAAUGAGGACAGCUUUUGUAUGCUAACGUACACUCCUUAACAGUUGUACUGGAUGAAAACACAGCAAGAAAACACAUAUGCCAAUAUGUAAUAUUAAUCUAUUUUAUUGCAGUACUGGUAGUUGGUUCAACAACUUGUUUUACUAGAGGACAAACAACUGAAUAUGCAUAACCCAUAUUUAAUAUCCAUGCAGUGACUGAACAACAACUGCAUUUCCACCCCCAUCUCUAAGGCAUAGUAUCAUGGCUGCAACAACACUGAAUGGCGCAGAGUGGGAGGUUACGUGGUUGACUGCCGGCACGCGCUACUUGUAUCAAUAAAUCACUAUCAGAAAA